rnacentral:rRNA from 1 species
GUCGGGAAUUUUGCGCAAUGGAGGAAACUCUGACGCAGUGACGCCGCGUAUAGGAAGAAGGUUUUCGGAUUGUAAACUAUUUUAGUCAGGGAAGAAAAAUGACAGUACCUGAAGAAUAAGCUCCGGCUAACUACGUGCCAGCAGCCGCGGUAAUACGUAGGGAGCAAGCGUUAUCCGGAUUUAUUGGGUGUAAAGGGUGCGUAGACGGGAAGACAAGUUGGUUGUGAAAGCCCUCGGCUCAACUGAGGAACUGCAACCAAAACUAUCAUUCUUGAGUGCGGGAGAGGAAAGUGGAAUUCCUAGUGUAGCGGUGAAAUGCGUAGAUAUUAGGAGGAACACCAGUGGCGAAGGCGACUUUCUGGACCGUAACUGACGUUGAGGCACGAAAGUGUGGGGAGCAAACAGGAUUAGAAACCCUAGUAGUCC